GCCGGGUAUAGUGGCGCACACCUGUAAUCCAAACGGCUUGGGAGGCUGAGGCAGGAGGAUCGUGAGUUCAAAGCCAGCCUCAGCAAAAGCAAGGCACUAAGCGAUUCAGUGAGGCCCUGUCUCUA
rnacentral:sRNA from 1 species